AUUGAACGCUGGCGUCAGGCCUAACACAUGCAAGUCGAACGAGUGGCGGACGAGUGAGUAAUAUCUGGGAAACUGCGUGAUGGAGGGGGAUAACUACUGGAAACGGUAGCUAAUAACGCAUACCAUCAGAUAUGCCCAGAUGUGAUUAGCUUGUUGGUUGGGUAACGGCUCACCAAGGCGGCGAUCCCUAGCUGGUCUGAGAGGAUGACCAGCCACACUGUAACUGAGACACGGUCCAGACGACUACGGGAGGCAGCAGUGGGGAAUAUUGCACAAUGGGAGCAAGCCUGAUGCAGCCAUGCCGCGUGUAUGAAGAAGUCCUUCGGGUUGUAAAGUACUUUCAGCGGGGAGGCGUUACGCGCAGAAGAAGCACCGGCUAACUCCGGGCCAGCAGCCGCGGUAAUUC
rnacentral:rRNA from 1 species